GGCACUCGUUCGUGUCUGAGUGGGGUUCGUGCCUUGAACAGCACCUCACAGAGAAGGGUUGUUUACAGUGAAGCUCAGUGAUGUACAGUGGGUGCUGAAAAUGGAAUUUCUUCUACUAAAGCUGAAAUAUUCUUGCUAAGAUAUUCUCCAAGCAACCCUGACAAGUAAUUUCUGCCCUUUCAGAACUGAGCAGGUGUGAGUUCCCAUUCACUGCAGCAGAAUAAGCUCCUAAAUUAACAAUGAAUGCAAGCGCCA